rnacentral:rRNA from 1 species
UACGGGGGGGGCAAGCGUUGUUCGGAAUUACUGGGCGUAAAGGGCUCGUAGGUGGCCAACUAAGUCGGACGUGAAAUCCCUCGGCUUAACCGGGGAACUGCGUCCGAUACUGGAUGGCUUGAGUUUGGGAGAGGGAUGCGGAAUUCCAGGUGUAGCGGUGAAAUGCGUAGAUAUCUGGAGGAACACCGGUGGCGAAGGCGGCAUCCUGGACCAACACUGACACUGAGGAGCGAAAAGCCAAGGGGAGCAAACGGG